rnacentral:rRNA from 1 species
CGGGAAGAGCUCAAAUUUAAAAUCUGGCAGGCUACGCUUGUCCGAAUUGUAAUCUCGAGAAGUGUUUUCCGCGUUGGCCUGUGUACAAGUCCCUUGGAACAGGGCGUCAUAGAGGGUGAGAAUCCCGUCCUUGACACAGACACCCAAUGCUUUGUGAUACACUCUCAAU